rnacentral:rRNA from 1 species
AUUGAACGCUGGCGGCAUGCCUUACACAUGCAAGUCGAACGGUAACAGGUCUUCGGAUGCUGACGAGUGGCGAACGGGUGAGUAAUACGUCGGAACGUGCCUAGUAGUGGGGGAUAACUACUCGAAAGAGUGGCUAAUACCGCAUGAGAUCUACGGAUGAAAGCAGGGGAUCGCAAGACCUUGUGCUACUAGAGCGGCCGAUGCAGAUUAGGUAGUUGGUGGGAUAAAAGCUUACCAAGCCGACGAUCUGUAGCUGGUCUGAGAGGACGAUCAGCCACACUGGGACUGAGACACGGCCCAGACUCCUACGGGAGGCAGCAGUGGGGAAUUUUGGACAAUGGGCGAAAGCCUGAUCCAGCAAUGCCGCGUGCAGGAUGAAGGCCCUCGGGUUGUAAACUGCUUUUGUACGGAACGAAAAGCCCCGGGUUAAUACCCUGGGGUCAUGACGGUACCGUAAGAAUAAGCACCGGCUAACUACGUGCCAGCCGCCGCCGUAA